ACAUGUGCUGCAGGGUUUAUAAUUAAGUUCACAAGAUUUUACUGAAGAUCACAAAUCAGCUAAACAGUUACACACCUUCUUCUGUAUUUUCAGCACAGUAAAGGAGACAUUUCUUAAUGUUUGUAUGUUUUUAUUCACAGCACAGAUGGAAAGUAAAGGAGUGUGAAGAAAAGACGCGACUCAAACACAAACAGACAUUCAGCCUGAGCUAGAAGAGACGUCUAGAAGAACCAGACGCUCGUCUGUUGAUCCUGAACUGCAGUUCUCCAGCGCUCCACUAGGCGGAGUCACUCACUGACUGACACACAGAGACACGCCCCCUGUCAGAGCUCGGCCUGGACUUCAGCAGCGGGUGAGUCUCAGCAUUCAUUCAACUCUUAUUCUGUUAAUAUGAUCAUGUUUGAGUGCUGUAAUGAAGAGCACAUCAAUAUAUUCAGAAUCAGUGCUGCACUGAGUUCAUUCUGUCGCUGAUCGAGCUGUUUAGGCUGCAGAGAAGUGAAA